rnacentral:rRNA from 1 species
UACGUAGGGCGCAAGCGUUAUCCGGAAUUAUUGGGCGUAAAGAGCUUGUAGGCGGUUUGUCGCGUCUGCUGUGAAAAUCCGGGGCUCAACCCCGGACUUGCAGUGGGUACGGGCAGACUAGAGUGUGGUAGGGGAGACUGGAAUUCCUGGUGUAGCGGUGGAAUGCGCAGAUAUCUGGAGGAACACCGGUGGCGAAGGCGGCAUUCUGGACCAUUACUGACGCUGAGGAGCGAAAGCCAGGGGAGCAAACGGG